AUUGAACGCUGGCGGCAGGCUUAACACAUGCAAGUCGAGCGGGGAAGGGUAGCUUGCUCCCUGACCUAGCGGCGGACGGGUGAGUAAUGCUUAGGAAUCUGCCUAUUAGUGGGGGACAACAUUCCGAAAGGAAUGCUAAUACCGCAUACGCCCUACGGGGGAAAGCAGGGGAUCUUCGGACCUUGCGCUAAUAGAUGAGCCUAAGUCAGAUUAGCUAGUUGGUGGGGUAAAGGCCUACCAAGGCGACGAUCUGUAGCGGGUCUGAGAGGAUGAUCCGCCACACUGGGACUGAGACACGGCCCAGACUCCUACGGGAGGCAGCAGUGGGGAAUAUUGGACAAUGGGCGCAAGCCUGAUCCAGCCAUGCCGCGUGUGUGAAGAAGGCCUUUUGGUUGUAAAGCACUUUAAGCGAUGAGGAGGCUACUGAGAUUAAUACUCUUGGAUAGUGGACGGUACUCGCAGAGUAAGCACCGGCUAACUCUGUG
rnacentral:rRNA from 1 species